rnacentral:rRNA from 1 species
GACGAACGCUGGCGGCGUGCUUAACACAUGCAAGUCGAACGGUGAAAGCGGAGCUUGCUCCGCUGGAUCAGUGGCGAACGGGUGAGUAACUCGUGGGCAACCUGCCCCUCACUUCGGGAUAACUCCGGGAAACCGGGGCUAAUACCGGAUAUGACCUCCUUGGGCAUCCUUGGAGGUGGAAAGUUUUUCGGUGAGGGAUGGGCCCGCGGCCUAUCAGCUUGUUGGUGAGGUAGUGGCUCACCAAGGCGACGACGGGUAGCCGGCCUGAGAGGGCGACCGGCCACACUGGGACUGAGUCACGGCCCAGACUCCUACGGGAGGCAGCAGUGGGGAAUAUUGCGCAAUGGGCGAAAGCCUGACGCAGCAACGCCGCGUGCGGGAUGACGGCCUUCGGGUUGUAAACCGCUUUCAGCAGGGAAGAAGCCGCAAGGUGACGGUACCUGCAGAAGAAGCACCGGCUAACUACGUGCCAGCCGCCGCGGUAA